CCUGGUGGCUAUGGCAAGGGGAUUAGACCCGAUCCCAUCCCGAACUCGGCCGUAAAAACCCUUAGCGCCUAUGAUACUGCACCUUAAGGUGCGGAAAAGUCGGUCGCCGCCAGGU
rnacentral:rRNA from 1 species